rnacentral:tRNA from 2 species
GCCACCGUAGCUCAGUGGUAGAGCACACCCUUGGUAAGGGUGAGGUCGAGGGUUCAAGCCCCUUCGGUGGCU